CCUACGGGAGGCAGCAGUGAGGAAUAUUGGUCAAUGGCCGCAAGGCUGAACCAGCCAAGUCGCGUGAGGGAUGAUGGUCCUAUGGAUUGUAAACUUCUUUUGUAAGGGAGUAAAGGGCGCCACGUGUGGCUUUUUGCGAGUACCUGAUGAAAAAGCAUCGGCUAACUCCGUGCCAGCAGCCGCGGUAAUCCGGAGGAUGCGAGCGUUAUCCGGAUUUAUUGGGUUUAAAGGGUGCGCAGGCGGAAUGUCAAGUCAGUGGUAAAAGUUGGGGGCUCAACCCCGUCGUGCCGUUGAGACUGGCGUGCUGGAGUGAGCGGGAGGUAUGCGGAAUGCGUGGUGUAGCGGUGAAAUGCAUAGAUAUCACGAAGAACUCCGAGUGCGAAGGCAGCAUACCGGAGCUCAACUGACGCUGAUGCACGAAAGCGUGGGUAUCGAACAGGAUUAGAUACCCUGGUAGUC
rnacentral:rRNA from 1 species